rnacentral:tRNA from 1 species
GCUGACGUAGCUCAAUUGGCAGAGCGCCAGGCUUCCACCCUGGAUGUGCGGGUUCGAGACCCGUCGUCGGCUCCA